rnacentral:rRNA from 1 species
UUGGAGCAUAGUUCUUCACUUGCUAAGUUAUGGCAACUCCCUCCAUUGGUGAUGACCUUGACGGACCUUCCAUUGAUGCUGGACUUGGUAUGAAAGAUAUGGCAUUGCACGGGUGCCCGCACAAGCAGUGGAGCAUGUGGUUUAAUUCGAUGCAAAGCGAAGAACCUUACCAGGGCUUGACAUGCCGCGAAUCCUCUUGAAAGAGAGGGGUGCCCUCGGGAAUGCGGACACAGGUGGUGCGUGGCUGUCGUCAGCUCGUGUCGUAAAGUGUUGGUUUAAGUCUCGCGACGAGCGCAACCCUCAUGUUUAGUUGCCACUAUGAGUUUGGAACCCUGAACAGACCGCUUGUGUUAAGCCGGAGGCAAGAGAGGAUGAGGCCAAGUCAUCAUGCCCCUUAUGCCUUGGGCGACACACGUGCUACAAUUGGCGGGACAAAGGGUCACAAUCUCUCGAGGGUGAGAUAACUCCAAAAACUCGUCCUCAGUUCGGAUUGCAGGCUGUAACUCGCCUGCAUGAAGCAGGAGUCGCUAGUAAUCGCCGGUUAGCUAUACAGCGGUGAAUCCAUUCCCGGGCCUUGUACACACUGCCCGUCAUACUAUAGGAGUUGGCCAUGUUUGAAGUCAUUACCCUUAACCGUAUGGAGGGGGUGCCUAAAUCUAGGCUUCCGACUGGAGUGAAGUCAUAACAAGGUAGCCGUACUGGAAGGACCAGCUGGAUCACCUCCUUU